UGUAAGCUGGGAAAAACAAGCACAAAGUGACUCCUUUCCCUUCAAAGAAUUCCAAGGAGGAAUGAGGAGGCUGGGAAAAGCAGGAAGGAAGAAAAUCAGGAGUUCUCUGCCAGAAGGAAAAGCUCCCAGAGCAGCAGAAACAGAAGGAGCUGGGGAAGACAGAAAAUGCCUGGGCACAGAGGAGAAAGCUGAAAUUGCAAAUCCUGCUAUGCAGGGGGAAGGUGGCUACACCCCCAGGGAGAAUUAAGGAAGAGGCAGAAGGGAAGUUCAGAGAGGUUUAAUUUUGUUUAUCACUUUAUUCAAGUUGUCUCCUUGCCUGAAAUGCUUCCAUUUGCUUUGGAAAGAAUCAAUCUAACCACAGAUAUUUCAUCUGACUGCUGUCAGCAGUUUCUUUCUUUGCUGUUUGUCUCUUUCCUUGAAAACAGAAAUCUCUGCUCUCACUCAACAUUCAGGCAGCUCAUGAAAAACUGCAGAGAAGUGAUUCCCUGUCUUGCAUAAUUGGACAUGUUUAUAUUCAGCUUUUAAACAGCAAGCUGGCUGAAUGCUAACUGCCCUUUACUGUGUAUUUAUUUUUUCAAACAAAACAAAGCUAAAAAUACCUUGAUUGAAUGU